rnacentral:lncRNA from 1 species
AUGCUUCUCUUCUCUGCUUCUCUUGCUAACCAGUAUUCUCUGUUGAAGGUUAUCCAGUAUUUUGGUAAUCGGGGAACAAGCAGUUUUGAUACCAAUUUUCCCAGUCUUCAAACUGGUCUGUUGGUGUAUGUACUCACGUUAUCUCUGUUCAAGGUUAGUAUCAUCAAAGCGGUUGUUUUCCUUCUUUUUAACAUGACGCCUCCGAAGAAAGCCUUUUAG